UGCUCUGUGAAAUGGACCUUCUGAUGACUGGAGAGACGGGUUUUCUUGCUAAAAGUCAAGGGACAAUGAGGGCAAGAGAAGACCUUGCGUCUUGAAGGCUUCUCUGGCCCCCAGCUUCUGGCCUUGGUGCGUCUUCUGGUGGCGUUUGAGCUCAGACUGGUCCCGGAAGCACUUCCCACAGAAGGGGCACGCAUGGGGCCGGUAGCCCAGAUGGACACGGCGGUGACGGCUCAGUCCAGAAGCAUCGCAGUAGGUCUUGCCACAGAGUGAGCAGCGGAAGGGCCUCUCCCUGAGUUGCUUGCGCCGGCCGGAGCUGAGGUCCUUGGGGUUCUGGAAGGACUUCCCACAAUGGGUGCUGUUGUGAACAAGCUGGUGGUUGUAGAGGCUGGAGCGCUUGCUGAAGCACUUGCCACAGGUGUGACAGGUAAAGGCUGGCCGAGCCCAGGAUUCUGGCAACGCUGGCGUCUUGUCCGGGGACCCAGUUGGAGGAGAGGUUGGGCCUGAGCCUCUGUGAUCAAGGGAGGCCUUCUUGUCAUCAACAGUCCCUUCAUCUCCCAAACUCUGACUCUGUUCUUGGCAUCCUUCCUUCUUGCCUCCUGGAGGGAACAAGAAAAAAGAUGGGAUUCAUCAUGACAGCCCUGACACAGCUCUCUGCUCAGUCCACACUGCUUCCUCUCCCACCCGACAUUCACCCUCACUCUUACACCUCAGAGACCAGAGAUAAGAGUAAACUUUUGGGUUUUCAAAUUAAAAGCAAAUAAAAAUUUAACUUGAAUCUUCCAACAAUAUUGGAGAUCAAAAUUUUAA